rnacentral:lncRNA from 1 species
AAUAUUUAAGUGGUGACUUCUGCUAUUUAUUCAAUCCAGUUUGAUUCUUAUCUAAAAGUUGUGGGACCGCCCAAUGGCCGGACCCUACGGGCACUGAUACCAUUUUAACUUUUUUACAUAUUCUUUCCUUUGUCUUGUAAAGAGGUAACUCACAUACCUAUGCCUUAAAUUUAGCUCUAACCCUCAACUUGGGGCAGCAGAAGCUCUGACUGCCCAUGGGUCCUGUCCCCAUGGUAUUCCAUACUAUUCUCUAAAUAAAAGAGCACUACUGCCAGAUCUUAAGAGUCUAAGAAAUCUUUCUUUUGACUCCUGGGCUCACCGACCCGCAUCACAGGGUCCCACAGCAGCCCCAGGGAGAGUCUCUGCUCAGCCCUAGUGGAAAGGCCACACCCACCAAGCACAAAGACUGGGUGACCUUGGAGCAGAAGUGGUACAGCUGGGCCCGCCCGAAACCGGAAGCUGAAGCUCUGAGCUGCUCGCCUGAGACCGGAAGCGAAAGCCGGGACGGUGCCGAGGAAGCACCCGGACAAGGACAGCAUCCAUGGAGCUCAAGUUUGAGUUGAAACCAGGCUCAAGGUCCGCCUGUCCUCACUGAUGGUGGAUUUCUGUGUGAGCAGGCUGUGCCCCCCAGAGUUUAUCCAUCCAGAGAGAGUACCAGCCACAUUCCCGCAUCAUCAACUGGAACCUCAGUACUCGGAGCCCACGUCCUCAGAGUACACCGCCUGCUGAGGGACAUCCAGGACCAAGUGGGUCUCUCCCCAUCCCAUCUCUCCUUUCCCUGGGGGCCCCCUUAUUCCUCCACCUGACUUACAUCUAUUACGUGAUUCUUUC